GCCCAGCACCGAAUCCCCGGAGCCGAGUGCUUCGUCGAGGAAAUGUGGUGUUCGAGUGGUCCCGUUUAUCCUGGACGUUGGCCGGUGCGUUCAAGUCCACCUUGAAAGGGGCCAUGGCCCAGAGAGGGUGCCAGGCCCGUAGAGACCGCUGCGCCCGUCCAGGAGGGUACCACUCUAGAGUCGGGUUGCUUGGAAAUGCAGCCCUAAGCAGGUGGUAAACUCCAUCUAAGGCUAAAUACGACCACGAGACCGAUAGCGAACAAGUACCGUGAGGUAAAGUUGAAAAGAACUUUGAAGAGAGAGUUCAACGAGUACGUGAAACCGUUCGGGGGUAAACGAACGAGACCCGAUGAACGCGUUGGCGAGGACUCAGUUCCGUGUCGGGCGGACCCGGGUUGGUCGUUUCCGUUGGCCACGCUGCCGGCGUUUGCGUCUUUGGGCGUGGCGUCGGUUCGGUGUGCUCGCCACGGCGGCUGUCCGGGCUAAUGUUCGUCCGGCCGGACCGAUUUUCCUCGCCACAGUGGAACGUCGCGACUCGCUGGGAAGCGGUCGACGCGCCCGGGUGGAGCUCGGUCCCGAAAGGUCCCCGGGAGGGGAGUGCCUCGAGUGUGGCCGAACCCUCGGUGCUGCUGGCCGGAGUCCCGGCGGUAGUUGAACGCACGUGGUUGGGUACGCUCUCCUGUGUGGAGCGCGCCAAGUCGGCGGACGGUAUCGUGCGCGUCGGCGAGGUUUGACGGCCUCUCGGUCGUCUUCCUUGUCGGGUGACGCCGGCCGUUUGUCGGCGCCUGAUGGCGCCGUACCCAGAGCCAGUCUGCGACGACAAUCCGAGUCGAGCUCUCGUUCGACCCGUCUUGAAACACGGACCAAGGAGUCUAACGUGUGUGCGAGUCGUUGGGUUCCGUGCCGAGGCCCCUAGUGACCUCGGUGCGAGCUCUGACGAAACCCGAAGGCGAAAAGAAAUUGAAAACGAGUCCAGCACUCGUCGAGGGAAGAUGGCGACGGAUCCGGCCCGUGAAGGGUAUUGUCGAGCGAGAUCGGCCCGCAUUCCCGGGGUGCCUCAACCGCCUGGCCGGCUUGCCGGACUGACGAGAGGUGCGCCCAGAGCACACACGCUAGGACCCGAAAGAUGGUGAACUAUGCCUGGCCAGGACGAAGUCAGGGGAAACCCUGAUGGAGGUCCGAAACGAUUCUGACGUGCAAAUCGAUCGUCUGAGCUGGGUAUAGGGGCGAAAGACUAAUCGAACUAUCUAGUAGCUGGUUCCCUCCGAAGUUUCCCUCAGGAUAGCUGGCGCUCGGAGGGUGAACGAGAACAAUGAGUCUCUUCCGGUAAAGCGAAUGAUUAGAGGCCUUGGGGCCGAAACGACCUCAACCUAUUCUCAAACUUUAAAUGGGUGAGAACCCCGGCUUGCUCGAGAUGUAUGAAGCCGGGGCCUAUUGGAUCACUUGAGUGCCAAGUGGGCCAAUUUUGGUAAGCAGAACUGGCGCUGUGGGAUGAACCAAACGCCGAGCUACGGCGACUAAAUCGACGCUCAUUGGAGACCAGAAAAGGCGUUGGUUGCUACCGACAGCAGGGCGGUGGCCAUGGAAGUCGGACAUCCGCUAAGGAGUGUGUAACAACUCACCUGCCGAAGCAACUAGCCCUGAAAAUGGAUGCCGCUGAAGCGUCGUGCCUAUGCUCGGCCGUCAGUGGCAGAAGAGGGCUGCCACGUGCUUGCGCGUGCUUGCAGACCCGGUAAGCCCUGACGAGUAGGAGGGCGCGGCGGUGUGCGCAGAAGGGACCGAGCCGUGAGGCCGCCUGGAGCCGCCGCCGGUGCAGAUCUUGGUGGUAGUAGCAAAUACUCGAGUGAGAGCCCUGGAGGGCUGAUGUGGAGAAGGGUUCCUUGUGAACAGCCGUUGCACAAGGCUCAGUCGAUCCUAAGUCCUCGCCAAACAGCGAUGCUAUACGCAGUGGUUCGUGUAACCGAAAAAUAUCAUGAUGAUGAUGUAAAUGUGGUACAACCGCCACGGACGAAAGGGGACGCGGUCCCCAUUCCGCUACCUGGACGCGGAACCGCUCUAAUGUUUCGUGGCCCUCGUUUGAGCUGGACUUUGUGCGCCUGUCUCGAAAGCCGGCCUCGUCGGGGUAACCCGAAAAGACCCGGAGAAGCUGAGGGGAGCUCCGGGGAGAGUUAUCUUUUCUGUAUCAGCGUUGUAGCUGCCUGGAAUCCUCUAGCAGGGAGAUAGGGAGCCGAACGCGGAGAGCACCGCAGUUGCUGCGGUGUCCGGAGCCUCCCCCUCGGACCGUGAAAAUCCGGGAGAGGGCCACGCGAAGUCUCGCGCCAGGUCGUACUCAUAUCCGCAUCAGGUCUCCGAGGUGAAGAGCCUCUAGUCGUAUAGACUAAUGUAGGUAAGGGAAGUCGGCAAAAUCGAUCCGUAACUUCGGAAUAAGGAUUGGCUCUGAGGAACGUGGUCCGUCGGGCUUGGUCGGGAAGCGGGUUAGCGUCUACGAGCCGGGCCUGUG
rnacentral:rRNA from 1 species